UACAGAGGGGGCAAGCGUUGUUCGGAAUUACUGGGCGUAAAGGGCUCGUAGGCGGCCAACUAAGUCAGACGUGAAAUCCCUCGGCUUAACCGGGGAACUGCGUCUGAUACUGGAUGGCUUGAGUUUGGGAGAGGGAUGCGGAAUUCCAGGUGUAGCGGUGAAAUGCGUAGAUAUCUGGAGGAACACCGGUGGCGAAGGCGGCAUCCUGGACCAACACUGACGCUGAGGAGCGAAAGCCAGGGGAGCCAAAGCGGGG
rnacentral:rRNA from 1 species